ensembl:lncRNA
UUUUACCGCGGAAAUAUACCUACUGGCCACAGAAACCCGAAAUAUAAAGAAAUUCCCAUAAUUUGUGUGGUCUAUGUAACGGAGGGAAGGUGUUUUUUUAGCACAAAUGUUAUUUAAGAGAGGGAAACCCUCCUCAAAACGGACAGAGCAGUGGAGCAGCCAAGGGAAAGCACACGAAUAAAAACUGUAAGGCUAAAAUAUAAUUUAUUAUAUUUAAACAGUUAAAAAUUGUUAAGGUUCUGAUAUAUUGAGGAGGAAUUCAAAAUAACCACCACUGAUCCGGCCGUGUGCAAUUAGACGGCAUUUUAAUGAAUACACAUGUGUGAGCCAAUACUGUGUAGAUUCAGUAUUGAACUGUCGUACAAUAGUCAAAACAAAGGCUUUAUAGGGUUGGGGUGAUACUGCUCCCCCCCCCUUCUGUUGCCAAGCAGAUUCAAUACAGCAUACGUCAAUGCAAAACCACAAAUGUUCUGUCAACCCUUGACACAGUCCAGAGAACAUCGUCUUCGGCUCGGUGCUUCCCCUCAGCUCGUCUUCGCUGUCGCUUAUCUCUGGGACAUCUGGUGUACUUCCUGGAACAGACUAACACGUACGCACCCAAACUUUGCAGUUAUAGCCAAACACAAUUAAACUCUUACCUAUAUAAAUGAGUCUACCUAAUAUGUGUGUGCGUGCACGUGCGGGGAUAUAUCCCAGGGAGCUGGGAUAUAACAACAACACAUCAUCCAUGCUUCGGCACUACAGAGCUUUGCAUGAGAAUAAGGGGAACACCGAUUGUGGAGCAAGACCAGGAGAACAAUCUCAAAUAGAUGGAGACCUGGUUAGCAUGGUGAUUGAGGACUCCCAGCCAUUUAGCAUUGUGGAGGACAAAAGAUUUAAAAGAUUUGUUAAAUCAAUAAAUCCUAGCUAUGUUCUCCCCACUAAAAAGGUCAUAAAAGCAGUGAAACUUUAGUUUUUACAGAAUAAAAUGUGAAGAGGCAGUGUGUAGCUGUCCAUACCUCAACGUUACAAAAGCACAACCACUUUCCACACCCCAACCACACCUCACCUCACAGUAAAUGAUCAUUUCCAUUUUAAGCAUUUCCAAAUGAUCAUUUUCCAUACUGCCAGUAUAAAUAUACACAUUAUACUGCCAUCACUACAAUAUACAUGUUUUACACACUCCUUUUGUUGUUGACAUUUACAGGCUGUGUGCAAAAUGUCACACUCUUCAAAUUCAUGGCAACUAAUAUUUUCACGUCCACUAGAUGUCCUACUAGAGCAAAUGAAGCUUCACGAAGCUUUGCGCUGGGGUGAACCAAUUGGAUGAAAAGCUUCAGUGCUUCAUGAAGCUUCAUCUGCCCAUCACUACUCUUAACUCUGCCCGUCGCUUCUUUGUAACCGCCAAUCGGCACCGGCCCGCCUCGCCGCCUCUAAUUCCUCGCAGACGGAUAAUCUGGCCUCCUGUUGCUGCAGGAGUCGGACCGCUCGCUCCGCGUCCCUGGUCGCUAGCGCUGUAUCUUCCUCCCCUCCUUGACGCCAAGCUCCACCAGCCUUAUGUGUCUCUGUAAAUUACCAUUCGCUCCUUUCCUCUCAGGUGUGUUAAAUUAGUAAAACGGGAAAAGGGCGGAGUCUCUCCAGGACAAAUUGGCAGAUGCAACCAAAACAUGCAGUAUAAAUAAAACACUCCACAAGAUAUAACCAAAACAUGCAAUAUCAAAAAUAAAUAAACACACUUCACAUUAGAACACAGCAAAGCAAAACAACAUCCGUCCUUCCCUGGAUGACAUCUAAUUUAACACUUACAAUGUUAAAAUGCAGUAACGACUAAAAUCCACACCAACACUUUUCAGGAAUCGACUCCCGAUGUGUUAUUUUAACUGGAUUAAACGUUUCACUCGGAACUCAAUUCGACUAACACUGAAAAAUCAACACUGGCAUUUUUGCUGUGGG